AAAGUCGGCGAAAGAUCUGAGCGGGUGGAGGUUUGGUUCACUGGCAACUUCUGUUGAUGUUGGGAGGGAGAGGGAGAGAGUGGGGGUGGAGAUCGAUUUCGGCUGGGAAGGGUAAAACAGACACCGAUUAGCUGAUCCUUGCUUUUGGAAGGGAUUGGGAAUCGGUGUUGUUGGCACCAUUUUUUUGAUGAAAAACGGGGUCGACUUGGGUUUUGAAAAAUGAAACGGGAGUCGCCACCAAUCCUUUUUUAUGAGGUGUGAUUGGAUCACCUUGAAAAGUGGUUGUUUUUAAUAAACGGUUUGAUUUUAUUAAAACAACAGGUUUGGUCCACGAAAUUCAGAAAAACGGGUUCGGGAGUCGGUUACGCACGAGGAAGGAUUAGCACCCUCGAUACGCCCAAAAUUGGUACCUUAGUUGAUUACUUAAUGUCUUAAUGUCGAAAAGCUGAAAACUUUAAAGAAAUUUUAAAAAAUACGAUCCUUGUAUUAAAAAGUUGAAAAUUUUGGAAAAAGUGGCAUAUUUCACGUUAAUCGAGAAAAGACAUCAUAUCCAGUAAGUUAGGAUACAACGUCUCGAAUUCUCGAUACUGGAGUGAAUGAUAAAAUGUUACCCCUUUUCAAAAAAAGUUUUAUUAUCUCGGGUUUAGAAAAUAAAUCUUGCCCAGUAAGUUAGGGCACGAUCUUUUCUUAACUUCCGAGAUCAUUUUAAAAAAAAACUUCGAAUUUGAAAAGAUUCGUGUAUUUAGAUUUAUUGAGAAAGUCGAAACCCAGUAAGUUAGGGCACUAUUUUCAAAUAUCUAAACACGAGAUUUAAUUUAUUUGAAAUGGAUUUUGAUAUAUUGGGCAAAAUGAAACACGAUGCUAAUAUGUAUUGCGAUAUAUAUAAAAAAAAUAUGUAUGUGAAUUAUAAAAUAUAGAAAAUAUGUAAGAAAAAUAUAGAUUUUAAAAUAUAAGUAAUAUGUAUAAGUAUGUGUAUAUAUAUAUAAAAACACGUACAUACACAUGUAUAUAUAUUAUAAAAGUAUAAAUAUGUACAUAUAUAAAUAAAAAAUGGGUAUGUGCAUACAUAUAUAUUACAUAAAAUAAAUGAUAUAAGUAUGUAUAUUGUAAAAUAAAACAGUGUAAGUAUGUACAUAUAUAUGUAAAAAAGAGACAUAUAUACAUAUAUUUUAUAAAAAUGAAUGAUGGAUAUAGACGUAUAUGUAUGUAUGUAUAACAAAACAUAUGUAUGUAUAUAAGCUAAAAACGUGUCUAUAAAGAGAUAUAUAGAUAUAUAUAAUAAGAUAUAAAUAUAUAAUAAGAUGAUAUAUAUAAAUAGUUAUAAUAAUAAUAAUAAUAAUAAUAGGACAAAUAUAUUCAAAAUUUAAAUAAGUAAAUAUAAAUAAAAUAUAACAAUAACAAUGUAAAACUAAAUGGUAUAAUAAUGGUGACGUAAAUAUACAUAUAUAUAAUGGCAAAAUAUAAUAAUAAUAGCUAGAUUAGUUAAUAAAACAACAAAAAUAACGAAAUGGGUCAAUUUGUGAUAAAAAUAAAAUUUAAAGGGUAAGACUAUAAUAAAAUGCACAAAGGAGGACCAAAAUAGAAGGGCGCGAAAGGAAGAAGGACCAAAUAGGUAAUAAACCCGAUUUUCAGGCCACGCGUCCCUUCCUUAGGGGCCCAACUAAUUGAGGAUCAAAUUAAAAAAGGGAACAAAUCCGUGGUCCAAAUUAAAAUAGGAGAAAAAAGACAAAUGGUCCAAAUUGAAACAGACUGAAAAUGCGGAAGGGCCUGAAGCGCAAAUAACCCCUUUGAUAGAAAACACGCGGAUCCUUGGCAGGCGGGUCGGAUGGAUCGGGUCUAAAGACUAAACGACGUCGUUUUAAGGCUAUGAUGCCAAGCCCUAAACGACGCCGUUUAAGAGGGGUAUAAAAUUCUAAUUUUUUUAGCAAAAAUUCAUUCUCUUCCACUCUUCAAAAAAAAAAACAAAAUACUCUCUCAACUCUCUAAGGCUCCGGCCUUUUGGGGUUCUCAGCCCCCAGUCGCGCCGAUCAUCGCCUUGCCGCACCAGCGCCGCGCCGGCCACCGCACGCGGUGGCCGAAAAAUUCAAAAGGUAUUUUUUUUAUUUUUUUAUUUUUUUUGCAAAUAAACUGCUUUUUAAUAUAUAUGUACAUAUGUGUGAAAGAUUAAAAAUUAAUAAAUAUAGAUAAUAAAAGAUGCGAAAAAAAUCACCUUUUCGAUUUUUGUUUAUAUUUCCGGGUAAAUAUUACAAAAUAGAUGAAAAGAAAAAAAAGCCCCUGUCUUUGAUGUUCGAAUGGCUUUAUAUAGAGCCAUUUUACAAAAAAAAUUUUUAUUGUUUGUUGCUGCUUGCGUGUGUUCUUCAUUUUGCAGGGCUGAUGGAGGACGAUGGGACGUGCGCGGCGCAAGUGGCAGAGCAGUUGGUGGCUACGGCGGUGCAGAGGAGUUGGUGAGAAGGCCCUAGGUGCAGCGCACCUAGGGUUGCUGCUGCUUUUUUAUUUUUCUUUUCUGAACAUGGGUUAGGGUAGUUGGGUGUAUUGGGUUUGGGCUUUUAGAUUUUGGGUUUAGGUUAAUUAGGUUUGGUUGUAAUUUGGGCUCUGCUGGUUGUGGGUUAGUGUUUAGGUGGGUUGGUUUGUAAUGGUUUUUAUUUGGACCAUAUUGGGCCCCGGGUAAAUUUGGGCUUGUACAGCUGCCCCUCUUUGCUCGUUGUCGUGUAAUGAGAACAGGGCAAAGACCAAGAAAGACCAAAUUUGCCCGGUCUCGCUGAGUCUUUACUUUUUGGUGCCUUUCUUCUUCAGGUAGCUUCAUUUCAGUCCACUUUGUCUUGUUGCGUCGAUCCUCUCCACUGCAACUUCAAGAAGAGAUAUGACUUGUGGCUUCAAUCCAUUCUGUUGUAACUUCAGGGGGUAAGGUCCAUCAUUUUGACCCGCUCCACUGCAACUUCAGGGAGAUCGGACUCAUAUCUUCAACUUGCCCCACUACAACUUCAGGGGGAUAAGAUUCGUGACUUCAACCUGCUUUACUGCAACUUCAGAGAGACAAGGUUUGUGACUUCGCUUCCAUCUAUUCCACUACCACUUUAGGGGAAUAAGAUUAGACAUGAUAAGAAUUGCUAUCUACUGUCCGCUCCGCUACAACUUUAGGGGGACAUGACUUGUUGUUUUCAGUCUAUUCCACUGCAUCUUCAGGGAAAUAAGAUUUGAUGCGAUCUACUCUGCUGUAACCUCAGAGAGAUAAGAUCCUUUAUUUUAAUCCGCUCCACUGUAACUUUAGGGAGAUAGGAUAGUGUCUUCGAUCUGCUCCGCUGUAAUCUCAGGGAGAUAAGAUCUCUGGCUUCAAUCUGCUCCACUGUAACCUCAGGGAGAUAAGAUCUGAAAUUCUCCGGUCUACUCCACUGUAACCUCAGGGAAAUAAGACCUGAUGUGAUCUUCUCUACUGUAACUUCAGAGAGAUAAGAUCCUUUAAUCCGCUCCAUUGUAAUCUCAAGGAGAUAGGAUUACUAUCUUUGAUCUGCUCCGCUGUAACCUCAGGGAGAUAAGAUCUCUGGCUUCAAUCUGCUCCGCUGUAACCUCAGGGAGAUAAGAUCUGAAAUUCUUUGGUCUGUUCCACUGUAAUCUCAGGGAGAUAAAACCUGUAUAAUAAACCUAAUUAUGCCUAAUGAUUAGGAUGACAUGAUCAAAAUGAAACAAAUGCUCCUAACUAGACAUAUGUGAAUGGUGUUUGCAUGAAUGCAGAAUUUUAUUUUUCCGAGAAUGAUCUCGCUUAGGUUAUCACUACUCGAAGUUUAUCAAGGUUUUGUGACUGACGUGCUACAACGCCUUCUCGCUUGACUGAUUUUUCUGAAGGAACAUUUAGCCAGACUGUCCCCAUUGUAAACCUCAAAGUUAUAUCCACUAGGACGCCAAAAUUUGUACCAUCAUUCUCUCACAGUAAUCUAAGGGUAGAAAUAUGUGGCUUUUCCUCUGUCCUCUUUUAUCACAAUUCGGGGAUAUAGGAUCUGAACCGUUCUGGUUUCCUACACCAUUCUCAAGGUGUCGUACCAAAGUCUUAUGCGCAAGUGAAGGCUCUCUUCUCCGAGGUAACCUCUUCCUAUUGCUUGAUGAUCAUUGCUUGCUUGUUCAUUUAAGCUUUGUAAUUAACACGACAGCUUGUCAUUUUGUUCAAUCAAUGUUUAGACAACGAAAUCUGAAAGGAUAGUCUUUAACUUAGACUCUUCUUUCCUAGCUAUUUCACCCUUUAAACUUGGUAUUUUCUAAACAAUAGUCAUGUUUCAGGUCCCUAUAUUAUUUAGAAAUUUUCCAGAGUAAUGUGCAAAACUUCUUUCCUGAAAGUUUUAUUAGUUCGUUAAUCAUUAUUCCUAUGCAACAUGUUUGCAAAAAGAUCAUAACAAUGGAUAAGAAUAAAGCUAGUUCUGAUCAUAACUCAAAUAAAACAUCAAAGAUGGCGAAAGAAAGGUAACAAAGAAGUGGAUUGAGAAUGUGCGUUUUCACAAAAGGAAAGGAAGAAAGAAAGAAAAUAAAAAAAUGUAUUUUCAAGAAUACACAUAAGAACUAGGUGCCCCAGUUAUCGCCGCUUGAGUUUCUCUGUACAAACUUUCCGAAGACCCUUCUAAGUUUGACAUGUGUUCAGGAGAUCUGCAAUACUCUGUCAAUGUUCCAAGACGUUGCAUAUCCUUUCUUAUUGGUUCAAGUAAAGGAAGAUCAUCAUAUCCCCCCGAUCAAAAUUUGAUCCGCUCAAGUCCUGAUGUUCCAAUCCUGCCCAAUACUUGAGUCGCCCUUUUCGGGUUUUCGACUCAAGCCCUCUUUGGUCUCAAAGUGCCCUUUACGGGUUUUCACCUUAGCCUCUCCAAAGUCCCCUUUUUUUUUUUUUUUUUAGGAAGCAAAGCGCCCUUUACGGGUUUUCACUUUGGUUCCCCUUUCUUUCAAGUGAAGUAUUUCUUGACGGAGUCUGCGUUUACAGGAUUUGGUAAACUUUUGCCAUCCAUCUCGCAUAGGAUCAAAGCUCCACCGGAAAAGGCCUUCUUUACAACAUAAGGGCCUUCCCAAUUUGGCAUCCAUUUUCCUCUAAAAUCUUUUUGCAUAAGAAGAAUCUUUUUUAGUACCAAGUCCCAUUCACGAAAUUCUCGGGGGCGAACCUUUUUAUUAUAGGCUCGCAUCAUUCGUUUUUGGUACAUUUGCCCAUGGUGAAUAGCUCUUAGCCUCUUUUCCUCUAUUAGGUUCAACUGAUCGUACCGAGAUUGGAUCCAAUCAGCUUUAUCCAACUGUAGCUCAGAUAACACCCGUAGAGAAGGGAUUUCAACUUCAAUGGGUAAUACUGCCUCCAUUCCAUAAAUCAGAGAAAAAGGCGUUUCCCCAGUAGAAGUUCUAACAGAUGUUCGAUAGGCAAGGAGAGCAAAUGAUAAUUUCUCAUGCCAAUCCUUGUAGGUUUCAGUCAUUUUCCCCACAAUCCUUUUAAUGUUUUUAUUGGCCGCCACCACUGCACCAUUCAUUUUGGGACGAUACGGCGAUGAGUUAUGAUGCUUAAUUUUAAAUUUGCUGCAAACUUCAGCUAUUGUGCUAUUAUUCAAGUUCAUCGCAUUGUCGGAUAUGAUCCUCUCAGGCAUUCCUUAUCGACAAAUGAUCUCCUUCUUCAAGAAUUUGCUGACUACUGCUUUCGUGACAUUUGCAUAUGAAGCAGCCUCCACCCACUUGGUAAAGUAAUCAAUUACUACGAAGAUGAAGCGAUGCCCAUUAGAAGCCUUUGGUGAUAUUGGCCCAAUAACAUCCAUACCCCACAUGGAAAACGGCCAAGGAGAGGUCAUGACGUGAAGAGGUGAAGGAGGCGCGUGUAUUUUGUCUCCGUAAAUUUGGUAUUUGUGGCACUUCCUGCAUGAUCAAUACAAUCUCCUUCCAUGGUGGGCCAAUAGUACCCAAAUCUCAUGAUCUGUCUGGCCAUCGUGAAACCACUGGCGUGCGUCCCACAAAUACCCUCAUGGACUUCUUCCAAAAUUUUCUUGGCUUCCACAGCAUCCACACAUCUUAACAGUACUUGAUCCUUCCUUCUUUUAUAUAACACUUCUCUAUCUAAGACAUAUUCAAUGGCUAUCUUUCUCAGAGUUCUUUUGUCAUUCUCUGUCGCUUGAUCAGGGUAUUCCCGAUUCUUCACAUAUUGUAGGAUACUCUGAUACCAAGGACAAUCAUCUUUUCCCUCCUCCUCAAUAUUGCAGCAAUUAGCCGGGGUCUUAGAGAUACUCAUCUGAACAGGCCUCAUUGCCUCAAGUCUAUUCACCUGAAUCAUCGAAGCUAGAGUAGCUAAUGCAUCAGCCAUUUGGUUUUUCUCCCGUGGGAGGUAAUAGAAGGUGAUAUCGUCAAACUCCUCAGCCAAUUCAAGAACUAGUUUUCUAUAACCGAUUAGCUUAGGAUCUCUAGUCUCCCACUCCCCUCUGAGUUGGUAUAUCACCAACGCUGAAUCCCCGUAUACUCUCAGUACUUUGAUGUUCCGUUCAAUGGCUGCACGAAUGCCCAUAAUACAUGCUUCAUAUUCUGCCAUGUUAUUUGUACAAUCGAAGUCCAACUUGCUAGCAACAGGAUAAUGAUCUCCACUUGGGGAUACCAAAACUGCCCCAACUCCAUUACCCGUAGCAUUUGAAGCUCCAUCAAAAUUUAACUUCCAUACGUGAUCCAUUUGAGGAUUUUCUUCAGUAUUCGCCACAUACAUCAAGUCCUCGUUUGGAAAAUCGAAAUUCAAAGAUUCAUAGUCCUCCAAGGCUCUACUAGCUAGGAAAUCGGCUAUUGCACUUCCCUUUAUGGCCUUCUGACUGACAUAUACUAUAUCAAAUUCUGAGAGCAAGAUCUGCCAUCUAGCCAUUCUCCCGUUCAAAGCAGUCGAUUCCAUCAUAUAUUUUAAAGGAUCUAACUUUGAAAUCAGCCAAGUCGUGUGAUACAACAUAUACUGCCUCAGUCUUCGGGUUGCCCAGAUUAGAGCACAACACAACUUCUCAAUUGAUGAGUACCUCAUUUCGCAAUCGGUAAAUUUCUUACUGAGAUAGUAUAUUGCCCUUUCUUUAUUUCCCGUCUCAUCAUGUUGGCCCAAUACGCAUCCCAUGGAAUUCUCCAACACUGUUAGAUAUAAUAUCAAUGGCCUAUCUGGACUUGAAGGUGAUAAGACUGGAGUAUUAGCCAAGUACUGCUUUAUCUUAUCGAAAGCCCUCUGACACUCUUCAUCCCAUUCGCCCGGAUUAUGUUUCUUUAAGAGCCGGAAUACUGGAUCACAUUUCUCUGUCAGUUCUGAGAUGAACCGAGCAAUGUAAUUCAGCCUCCCUAGGAAACCUCGAACCUCCUUCUGAGUGCGCGGGAGAGGUAAAUCUCGUAUUGCCUUUACUUUGUCUGGGUCAACCUCGAUCCCCUUUUUGCUAACUAUGAAGCCUAAUAACUUCCCUGAUCUGGCUCCAAACGUGCAUUUGGCCGGGUUAAGCUUGACCUAAAAUUUCUUUAAUCUCAAAAAUAACCUUUUCAAGACCUGAACAUGCUCUUCUUCUGUUCUAGACUUCGCGAUCAUAUCGUCAACAUAGACUUCGAUCUCCUUGUGCAUCAUGUCGUGAAACAAAGUCACCAUAGCUCUUUGAUACGUUGCUCCCGCAUUCUUCAAUCCGAAGGGCAUUACCUUGUAACAGAAUGUUCCCCAUAAGGUAAUGAAUGUGGUUUUCCUCAUGUCUCCAGGAUGCAUCUUUAUUUGAUUGUAUCCAGAGAAACUGUCCAUGAAAGAAAACAAUGAAUAUCCCGCCGUGUUAUCUACCAAAGUAUCAAUGUGAGGCAGUGGAAAGUUGUCCUUUGGACUAGCCUUGUUUAAAUCCCUAUAAUCCACACACAUUCGUACCUUUCCAUCUUUUUUGGGAACAGGGACGAUGUUGGCUACCCAAUCCGAAUACUUGACCUCUUGUAAGAAACCAGCGUCGAAUUGUCUUUUGACUUCUUCUCUUAUUUUCAACACAAUGUCAGGUCUCAUUCUCCUAAGCUUCUGUUGAACGGGUUUACAAUCCUCCUUUAUGGGCAGACGAUGCACCACAAUGUUAGUACUUAGCCCAGGCAUAUCUUGGUACGACCACGCGAAAACAUCCUUGAACUCUCGGAGCAAAUUAAUGAGGUCUUGCCUUGUCUUUGCGGUGAUUUCAGUUCCAAUUUUCACCUCCUUUCCAUUCUCUAGGCUCACUAUUUCUAACGAUUCCCUAUGAGGUAGGAUAUGCUUAUCCUCUUGUUCCAUCAUUCUUAACAAGUCCGGAGAUGCAUCAUAAUCUUCGUCAUUUUCAAAGUCGUGGGAUCCCUCUGAACACACUUCUUGCUCAAAAAUAGGCUCCGUGUUUGAGGCAGCGUCACUCAUGUCAUUGAUAUCUGAAGACCUAUGAGGGCAUAUCAAAGAAUAUACCAAGAAUAUAAAUUUAUGAAUAUGUUUGUGCAAAAGAAUUACAAAUGAAAGAAUUAUUUGUAAGACAAUCAACCAAAUGAAAAAUAUAAAAGGAAAAAAAAGUGAUUGAUCGAGAUGAACGUAGAUACGUAUUUCAUUAAAAUAAUGAUAUUUAGGCCCAAUGCCUAUUUCACAAAAGAUUUCAUAUCGUUUCUAGGCCAACAAACAACAGGAAUGUUUUGAGCAUUACUCUGAAUAAGCCCUAAAGACUACAGGGAUUUCUUCAGCAGUCCAAUUGUUUAGCUCGCUUCCAGGCUCAUAAGGGCAGAUCUCCAACAAAGCCCUCCUUUCCGUUGCUUCUAUGGCGUUGGUAUAAACGUUUUCCAACAUUCCUCCCAUGCCGCUACCGGACACUCCACAUUCAGAAUGAAUAAAUCCUCCCGACACAAAAGAUGUAGAUAUGUGGGGAAAGGUUAAAGGCUCACACUUAGCUUCAUGUCCAUUCAAACGCGCCCUUCUUCUCUCUUGUCUCUUCUCUACUUCUUUCUUCUUCUGCUUCAUGUCUGGCUUGUACCCUAAACCAAAUCUAUCAAACUUUUCCUUCGGCAUUGGUGCCUCAAUCCUUCCCUGAAGAUAUUUUCCCAAUCCUUUCCCGGGUAAGGCUCCUCUUCCUACCAUCAAUCGCAAUCCCAUCUCAGUGGUCCUGGAUAUUUUCGGUACUGGAAUUCUAUUUCCCUCCGCAAUAAACAUCGCGUUCACAAAUUCUAACGACCGAAAAGAACAUUCUAGUGCCUCAUCGUUGAUGUCCACAUAAGGUGCAUCGCUAGUCAUCAUUGCGAUAAUAUCCUCCUCUGCAUCUAUUGUUACCAACCGAUCCUCCGAUACCAACUUCACCUUCUGAUGUAAUGAUGAAGGUACUGCCCUGCUGAGUGUAUCCACGGUCUCCCCAAUAGACAGUUGUAGGAUGGUUUAAUAUCCAUUACCAAGAAAUCCACCUCAUAAGUGACUGGGCCAAUCCUUAAUGGUACCUCAAUUCUCCCCAUAACCUCCUUUUUUGUUCCAUCAAAUGCCCUUACUAUGCUCUGGCAUGCUUUCAUGUGCGAACUGUCUAUUGGUAAUCGACUAAGAGUGGACAAAGGCAAUACAUUUAGUGCAGAUCCAUUAUCAACCAAGGCCCCCGGGAGUGUGUACCCUUUGCAUCGGACAGUAACAUGCAGGGCUUUAGUAGAACCUCUUCCUCCGGAUGGUAUUUCAUCAUCACUGAAGAAGAUAAAAUUGUCAGCACCAAUAUUGUUGAUCAGCCGAUCCAGCUUGUUUACCGAAAUAUUGUCAGCCACAUAUGUUUCGUUUAGCACCUUUAAUAGUGCAUUCCGAUGUACUUCUGAGUUUAAGAGUAAAGCUAAUACAGAAAUGCGGGCUGGCUGUUUGUGCAGUUGCUCCACAACACUGUAUUCACUGUGUUUCAAAAACUUCAAAAACUCCUUUGCCUCCUCUUCUUUUAUUGGUUCAUUUACCAAUGGUUCAACUUCUACUGCUUUCCCUUUCCUCUGUUCUUUCUUCCAAUUCUCUUCCCUGGACGACUCUGCUUGAGCGUCAUAUCUUUUUUCAUUACGCGUGUAAGAACCUAUUUCCUGAUUUCUUUCUGCUUCUUUUCCCAAAAUGGUCACAUUACACCCGUAAUUCCACGGCACCAUUUUGUUAUCCCUAUAAGAGAAAUUUGAUGGUUUCUGGAUUACAAUUUUCGGUGUUACCUGAGCCCUAACCUCAUUACCCUUAGGGCGUGAGAUAAUGACCACAGGAUGAUUUAUUUUUGGAGCCUUUGUUCCCAACUCUGUCGCGCAUAUGCUCCUCAUUUCUUUUGCAUCUUCAUAAAACCUCAUCUCCUUGUUAUCCAUCAUGCUUUGAACCAAAGCCUUAAAUCCUUCACAUUCUUGGAUUUCGUACCCUGUUUUAUGGUGAAAUUCACAAUAAUUUCCCAUCUCAUGCCCUUCCUCAGAAUCUGAAAUAACCAAACCUCUUUUCGCCAUUUCUUUCCAGACCCGUUUCAAUAGAGUUUUUACUUCAGCAAUGUCAGUCUUGACUUCUUCUCCCGUACCUUCGCUAACCAUAUUCACCCCCUUAUCUGCGUGAUUAGGUAACGGAUUCUUUGCGUUAGGUGAGUCGUCAAGUUUGACGACACCUAAAUUGAUAAGUCCUUCUACUACCUUCUUGAAGGCAGUACAAUUUUCUAUCGAGUGCCCAGAAAUUCCCGCAUGAUAAUCACAUUGCGCGUUCAUAUCAUACCAUUUUGGAUACGGGGGUUGUAGAGGACUCAAUUAACGAGGAGCAACAACAUGUGCAUCGAAUAAAGUCUGAUACAACUCCUUGUAUGACAUCGGGAUUGGCGUGAAUUGGGGCUUUUCAGUAGUUUGCCUAGCUCCCGACUCUUGUCUUGAUGAUCCCUGUUGAUUAGCAACCACUUUCUUUGGUUGAUUCACGGUAAUUGACCUAUCAUAAGCAUUCACAUUAUUCACUUCAUUUUCUCUUUUCCUCAGGAGUGCCCUCCUAUUAUUUUCUCCUCCAUCUAUUUUUCCACUUUUAAUGGCAUGCUCAAUCAUUUCACCAUUCAUGAUUAUAUCCGAGAAAUUUUUUGAAGCGCUUCCCAACAUAUGAGUGAUGAACGGGGCUUUCAAAGUAUUAAUAAAAAGCGUCGUCAUCUCUUUUUCCAAAAGCGGUGGUUGCACCUGAACCGCCACCUCUCGCCACCUCUGCGCAUAUUGUCUGAAGCUUUCGUUCGAUUUCUUCUCUAAAUUUUGCAGAGUUAUCCUGUCAGGCAUCAUUUCUGAGACAUGAUUGUAUUGUCUCAGGAAAGCCUGUGCUAAAUCCCUCCAAGUAGCAAUUUUAGCUCGGCUCAGCUGAUUGUACCAUUUUGACGCCACUCCCGUAAGACUUUCCUGAAAGCAAUGUAUUAAUAAUUGAUCAUUAUUAAUAUGCCCCGUCAUUCUUCUACAAAACAUAUUAAUAUGGGAUCCUGGGCAACUAGUCUCGUUGUAUUUCUCAAAUUCCGGCAUCUUAAAUUUGUAAGGGAGCACCAAGUCCGGAACCAAGCUCAGAUCCUUUGCAUCUAUUCCAUAGCUUUCGAUGCUUUCUAUUGCCCUAAACUUCUCUUCUAUCCAUUUCCAUUUCUCCUCAAAUUGUUUUAGAAAUUCCUCCUUCGCCUUGUCCUUUUCAACCAUCUCGUCAAGAUCUGGGACAGCAAUAUUAUUCGGGCUAUCACCGGGAUUAAAGCCCGCUCCGGGUUGAAAACUCAUUGGGAUUGAAGCAUCGCCUUGGAACUGCUGGGGCCUAACCGACACAGAGGGUCUCCGCGGAUGCAGCUCAGUCUGUACUUGCGCAUGCGGAGGCGUGAAGCCUGGAGGAUAAAGUGGUUCACCAUUGUUUUAUUCUUCACUAACAACCACAGGACCUUUACCCUUAUCUACUCCCUUCAAUAAUUGCGUCAUCUUAGCCACCAGAUCAUUUUGGGACUCCUCCAUCUUUUGCACCAUGUCACGCUGAAUCUUUUCUAUUUGCUCUUUCAUUUGCGCCUGCAACUGGUCUUGCAUUUCUUUUUGAAGUCGCUCUAGCUUCUCCAACCUUUGGUCCAUAAUUUUUGUCUUAGCUCGGGUGCCAUAACUUUGUUGGUUUUCCAGGUUAACUGAAAUGAUUUUAUUCGAUUAGGUUUUUAAUGGUCAUUAAUGCAUAUGAUGUGAUGCAAUGCAUGAAAAGAAUGCAAAGAAAAAGAGGCACUGAUUCUAAUUCAACUUCAUUAGAAAACUUUACUAGAUAAAGAGUUUCUUUACAUAAAAUAGACUACAUAUAUGGCUUUGCCCUUACACUCAAAGCCUUAACCUUUCUAAGAAGCCAAGCUAACUCUCGGCCCCUGUCCGACUCUAACUCAUACUUCAAACUUAAUAGAUCAGCCUGAACCGCUAGAGUUUGCAGAUGAUCAGCUACUUCGCGCACUUGAGCCACCGCCUCUCCCAUAAUAUAAUCUCUUUCUCUAAUCUGCUCUUGAGACCGACGGAAUUGUCUUUGCCACUGCUCAUUAUUUUCUUCCAGAAGCUCUAUCCGGAUUUCACUAUUUUGCAAUGCAUUCUCUAGCCCUCCUAUUUGUCCUUUUAAUUCUUCAAUUUUGUCUAAGCUCGCCCUUAAUUCAAGCGUAGCAUUACGAUUACAGUACUGGUGAAGCGAUCUUUCUAGUUCAGUUAUCCGGACCUUCAACUCCGUCUUCUCGUCUUGGCAAACUAGUAGACUCUUUCCCAAUGCGACUUCUCGAGCCCGAGUAUCCUGAAAUUUCUUUUCCCAUUGAUUAACUUUCGUCUUUUCCUCCUGAAUUUCUUGUCGCCAUUGCUCUGGCGUUUUACCCAAGCCAGCAGCUCUUACCGACCUACGCAACUUCUUGUAAUCUGUCUUCAGGCUGUCCAAAUCUUCUUCUACUUUGUUCUUUCCUUUUCUCAAUUUGUCGGCCUCUAAUCUUUGAAUGUCCACAUCCAGUCCUAACUGCAUUUUUUCUUCCUCUAGUUGUUCUAUCUUCUUCCCCAAUUCUAAACUCCUUUUUUCAAAUUCUUGUUUGAUGAUUUCUAUCUCAUAAGGGAAAACUUGUAAGUGUUCCUCUAAAGAUCGAGCAGUUUCUGAAUUUGAUGCCGGGAUGUUGUCGUUGAUCUUUUGAUCACGCCACUGACUAUACUCGGGGGUAAUUGUCGGACCUACGGCUAAGAUCUUCAUUCGACGAGUCUGGUUCCAGGCACUAGAUAUUUCUCGAACCUUCUUCUUGUAGUUGUCCUUCCUAUAGGAAAAAUCACAAUAGGCCAACCCCUGCGUUACUGGUAUGAAUUGUCGUGAUCUAUACUGUCUUGAUACGAGUAGAGGAGCAUAUCCGAUAGCUCCCCAUAUCCCGAGCAGCGGAACCCAGUCAAAAUCUCCACAUCGGUACAAUAUCUCAUCAGGAAUUAACCAAUGAGCCCUCCAUUCAAUAUCUUCAUCCUGGAGAUUCUGGAGUAUCUCUAUCCAUUUUUCUUCUGAAAUAUCAUCCCGUCUUGGCGUGGCCACCAAUUCUCCUAGAGGGGAGUAGCUAUCAGAGAAUACCUGAUAAGAGACCUUUUUGACUUUCCAGAAGUGGCUAUGGAACCAUGCCAAUAAGAGCUGCGCGCAUCCAAUAAACCUUCCCUCCCCUACUUUUCGACACGCAUUCAAGGACCUAAAAGUUUCAGCGAGUAUUGUCGGAACCGGUGUAACCCCUUUACUAAGCCGAUCAAACAAAUCAGAUACAGCCUCGUCUAUGUGUCCUAAAGCUUUGAGGAAAACCACUAGUCCAUAGAUACCUAAAGCGAAGACAUCGACCCUUUUCUUUAAGUCAGGAUGUACAAGCACCAAAUCUCGCAAACUUUUCCAAGGAACACAUUUACUGUCGCCCUUCUGUUGGAUCUGGGCAGCGACCCACUGCUCGCUCAUCCCAGUGAUGUUCAUUAAUUUCUUUAACAACGGGGGGACACAAGCAGCUCUGGAAUAAGCCUUGUCGACUUGAAUCUUUGGGCACCGAAGCAAGGUCGUAUACUCCUCCACAGUAGGCGUCAAAUCUACCUUCCCAAAAGUGAAACAACUGUAGGCAGGAUUCCAAAACUGAGCAAGGGCUCGGAAUAAAUACUUGUCCACUUUGACACUAAGCAGAUAAGGUAGGUCACCGUAGUUACAAUAGAACAGCUGCUUGGCCUCGACAUCCCAUUGAUCCCAGACUUCUUUCAUUUCUCGAAGGUCAUUCUGGAUUACACUGAUACGGGUAAAAUCCCACAAUUCUGACACGUACCCUUCGGUAAGACUAUCGCCUUUCUCCCGUUGUGUCGUUUAAGCCCAUAUUCGCACAGCCGCAUUAUCCUCUACUUUAUCAACAAACCCCUUUUCCAUGAUAAGCUUUCUACCAAGAAACUGAACGUAAAUCGACACCUCUUUUAGAAUGAAGAUGCCAUGCAAUCACAAACAAAGUAAAUUAGCAUUAAACACAGAAUAAGAUUUAAAAUAAGCGACAAAUAAAUACAACAUUCAUUUAGGUAAGCACUAAAAAUUUGGAGUAGCUCUACCUAGGUCGGUUCCUAUGGCUCAUUACAUGUGGUUUGGUUCUAAAGUAGGGUACCUGAACCAGCAAAUUCCUUGAUCCUCACCCAUUAUAGGCUCAUACGGACCAAGUUCGAUUCAGGGGGAUACAUUUCCCUAUGGCCAUGCGGAGAUGAAAAUCUCACGAAGACAUAGGUACGGAUAUAUCCCGAAAGCGAUUCACUAUCCCAUGCGGAGGUGAAAACCUCACGAAGGCGUAGCUUCUCACUCCCACUUAAAAAGGUGUGACCAACGGUCAUGCAAUGCAAUGCGGAAAGAUACCAAAAUUUAAACAAACAGAGCAAUUAUAAACCCCAAUGAUGAUGAUUAUGAUAAAGACAGAUAAAAUGCGAUGAAAGGAUCGUAAUUUUAAACCGAAUUUUCAAUUUUUGACAAAAGACAAAAAGUAAUCACCACGUGGCUUGACCCUCUUAUCGGUCUCCCCAGUGGAGUCGCCAAGCUGUUGGCACCAUUUUUUUGAUGAAAAACGGGGUCGACUUGGGUUUUGAAAAAUGAAACGGGAGUCGCCACCAAUCCUUUUUUAUGAGGUGUGAUUGGAUCACCUUGAAAAGUGGUUGUUUUUAAUAAACGGUUUGAUUUUAUUAAAACAACAGGUUUGGUCCACGAAAUUCAGAAAAACGGGUUCGGGAGUCGGUUACGCACAAGGAAGGAUUAGCACCCUCGAUACGCCCAAAAUUGGUACCUUAGUUGAUUACUUAAUGUCUUAAUGUCGAAAAGCUGGAAACUUUAAAAAAAUUUAAAAAAAUACGAUCCUUGUAUUAAAAAGUUAAAAAUUUUGGAAAAAGUGGCAUAUUUCACGUUAAUCGAGAAAAGACAUCAUAUCCAGUAAGUUAGGAUACAACGUCUCGAAUUCUCGAUACUGGAGUGAAUGAUAAAAUGUUACCCCUUUUCAAAAAAAGUUUUAUUAUCUCGGGUUUAGAAAAUAAAUCUUGCCCAGUAAGUUAGGGCACGAUCUUUUCUUAACUUCCGAGAUCAUUUAAAAAAAAAACUUCGAAUUUGAAAAGAUUCGUGUAUUUAGAUUUAUUGAGAAAGUCGAAACCCAGUAAGUUAGGGCACUAUUUUCAAAUAUCUAAACACGAGAUUUAAUUUAUUUGAAAUGGAUUUUGAUAUAUUGGGCAAAAUGAAACACGAUGCUAAUAUGUAUUGCGAUAUAUAUAAAAAAAAUAUGUAUGUGAAUUAUAAAAUAUAGAAAAUAUGUAAGAAAAAUAUAGAUUUUAAAAUAUAAGUAAUAUGUAUAAGUAUGUGUAUAUAUAUAUAAAAACACGUACAUACACAUGUAUAUAUAUUAUAAAAGUAUAAAUAUGUACAUAUAUAAAUAAAAAAUGGGUAUGUGCAUACAUAUAUAUUACAUAAAAUAAAUGAUAUAAGUAUGUAUAUUGUAAAAUAAAACAGUGUAAGUAUGUACAUAUAUAUGUAAAAAAGAGACAUAUAUACAUAUAUUUUAUAAAAAUGAAUGAUGGAUAUAGACGUAUAUGUAUGUAUGUAUAACAAAACAUAUGUAUGUAUAUAAGCUAAAAACGUGUCUAUAAAGAGAUAUAUAGAUAUAUAUAAUAAGAUAUAAAUAUAUAAUAAGAUGAUAUAUAUAAAUAGUUAUAAUAAUAAUAAUAAUAAUAAUAGGACAAAUAUAUUCAAAAUUUAAAUAAGUAAAUAUAAAUAAAAUAUAACAAUAACAAUGUAAAACUAAAUGGUAUAAUAAUGGUGACGUAAAUAUACAUAUAUAUAAUGGCAAAAUAUAAUAAUAAUAGCUAGAUUAGUUAAUAAAACAACAAAAAUAACGAAAUGGGUCAAUUUGUGAUAAAAAUAAAAUUUAAAGGGUAAGACUAUAAUAAAAUGCACAAAGGAGGACCAAAAUAGAAGGGCGCGAAAGGAAGAAGGACCAAAUAGGUAAUAAACCCGAUUUUCAGGCCACGCGUCCCUUCCUUAGGGGCCCAACUAAUUGAGGAUCAAAUUAAAAAAGGGAACAAAUCCGUGGUCCAAAUUAAAAUAGGAGAAAAAAGACAAAUGGUCCAAAUUGAAACAGACUGAAAAUGCGGAAGGGCCUGAAGCGCAAAUAACCCCUUUGAUAGAAAACACGCGGAUCCUUGGCAGGCGGGUCGGAUGGAUCGGGUCUAAAGACUAAACGACGUCGUUUUAAGGCUAUGAUGCCAAGCCCUAAACGACGCCGUUUAAGAGGGGUAUAAAAUUCUAAUUUUUUUAGCAAAAAUUCAUUCUCUUCCACUCUUCAAAAAAAAAAAAACAAAAUACUCUCUCAACUCUCUAAGGCUCCGGCCUUUUGGGGUUCUCAGCCCCCAGUCGCGCCGAUCAUCGCCUUGCCGCACCAACGCCGCGCCGGCCACCGCAAGCGGUGGCCGAAAAAUUCAAAAGGUAUUUUUUUUUAUUUUUUUAUUUUUUUUUGCAAAUAAACUGCUUUUUAAUAUAUAUGUACAUAUGUGUGAAAGAUUAAAAAUUAAUAAAUAUAGAUAAUAAAAGAUGCGAAAAAAAUCACCUUUUCGAUUUUUGUUUAUAUUUCCGGGUAAAUAUUACAAAAUAGAUGAAAAGAAAAAAAAGCCCCUGUCUUUGAUGUUCGAAUGGCUUUAUAUAGAGCCAUUUUACAAAAUUUUUUUUUAUUGUUUGUUGCUGCUUGCGUGUGUUCUUCAUUUUGCAGGGCUGAUGGAGGACGAUGGGACGUGCGCGGCGCAAGUGGCAGAGCAGUUGGUGGCUACGGCGGUGCAGAGGAGUUGGUGAGAAGGCCCUAGGUGCGGCGCACCUAGGGUUGCUGCUGCUUUUUUCUUUUUCUUUUCUGAACAUGGGUUAGGGUAGUUGGGUGUAUUGGGUUUGGGCUUUUAGAUUUUGGGUUUAGGUUAAUUAGGUUUGGUUGUAAUUUGGGCUCUGCUGGUUGUGGGUUAGUGUUUAGGUGGGUUGGUUUGUAAUGGUUUUUAUUUGGACCAUACUGGGCCCCGGGUAAAUUUGGGCUUGUACAGGUGUUAAAGCAGAGAAAAUAUGGAUUACAUCCGUAACGUAAUAGGAGUGUAUUAAGGCAAUACACUGAACCAAACAUGAGUUUAUGUGGGGCCCACCGAUUAGGGGUGUAUUGGCAUAGC
rnacentral:lncRNA from 1 species